rnacentral:tRNA from 1 species
GCGAGGGUGGCGGAAUUGGUAGACGCGCUAGACUUAGGAUCUAGUAUCGAAAGGUGUGGGGGUUCGAGUCCCCCCUCUCGUA